rnacentral:rRNA from 1 species
AUUGAACGCUGGCGGCAGGCCUAACACAUGCAAGUCGAGCGGAUGAAGGGAGCUUGCUCCUGGAUUCAGCGGCGGACGGGUGAGUAAUGCCUAGGAAUCUGCCUGGUAGUGGGGGAUAACGUCCGGAAACGGGCGCUAAUACCGCAUACGUCCUGAGGGAGAAAGUGGGGGAUCUUCGGACCUCGCGCUAUCAGAUGAGCCUAGGUCGGAUUAGCUAGUUGGUGGGGUAAAGGCCUACCAAGGCGACGAUCCGUAACUGGUCUGAGAGGAUGAUCAGUCACACUGGAACUGAGACACGGUCCAGACUCCUACGGGAGGCAGCAGUGGGGAAUAUUGGGCAAUGGGCGAAAGCCUGAUCCAGCCAUGCCGCGUGUGUGAAGAAGGUCUUCGGAUUGUAAAGCACUUUAAGUUGGGAGGAAGGGCAGUAAGUUAAUACCUUGCUGUUUUGACGUUACCAACAGAAUAAGCACCGGCUAACUUCGUG